rnacentral:lncRNA from 1 species
CUUCACCUCUUCAAAUUAUUCUCCCUAACCCACAAGUUCUUGAAAAGUUUAAGGUCACUCAGGCCCUAUUGGCAAGGCAAGGUCUAGGUGUGGUCACAUCUUGGAGAUGUAGUCACAUAUUGACAAGCCGGGAGAGUUGGGUGUCAAAGUCUUGAGAAAGUUGGUGGUUCAACUACUUUCUAAGUCACAUAGUGAGUUCUUUUGGAACACCUAUGAAAAAGACUAUGACAAGACCCUUAAUGAUCUUAUCUAUUUGUUAAGAUCAACUUCCUAAAACUUUAUGGACAUUGACAAUGAUGACAUUGGAUAUCCAGUAAAGCAUUCUCUUCCCAAUGGAAAGGGAUCGGCUAUAGUCAACUCGGUUGACCAAAUGGUAAAGAGAAAAGCUAAGUCUGUGAUAGUCCUGUGUACCAUUAUCAAAGGGUCCAUAUGUUUGUAUUGCCAAAGAAAGGGCAUUGGUUGCGAAGCUGCCAAAUUUACCUAAGGAUGUUAAAGUCAAUAAGUUUGACUCUACUUCAGGUAAAAUCCACUAUCUAACUCUGUUAAGUUUCUAUUCUGAGAUUCUUGAUACAUGAUGUGACCGGGUCGCAUGGUGAUGGUUUAAGAAUCAAAGGAAAGUGAAGAAACUUAAAGGAAGAAUAUGCUGAAUCUGAUCGCAUAGAUGGAUUUCUAUCGCAUAGUUUGAAAAAUCGGAUUCUUGAGCUACUUCUUAGGAGUUAUGAGAUAUUGCUUAGGAAUAGAUAACAACAAGUUUUCAUAUGGAUUGUAAGGAUAGUUUUUCCGCAAAGUUUUAAAAUAAAAGGAAAUUUUUGAUUUUAUUUAUUUUAAAAUAUCCUUACAAUGGCAUCUGUGGAAAUUUUUGUUGCUUAUAAGAUUCCAUUAGUAGCAAGAGUGGAAGUAUGAAAUUGAUUCUUUCAUUUGUGGUAAUGUCUAAAUUUACCAAAUAAGGAAAGAUUCUCAUCACCCAAGUUUCAAUUGGACCGGAACUUGGAAUCAUGCAAGUUGUAUAGCAUGAUGAAUGAGAACUUUCAAGUUUUGGAAAAUUAAGACUAAUUACUUGUUCACAUGGAUGUGUGAGUCAAGUAAAGGACUUAGGGAUCGAGUACACAUUCUUGUGCACUGAUUAAGUCCACCACUAAAGAUCGAUAAGAAGAAUCAAAUAAGGCAGAAGGAUAAAAGUUUCUCAAAUCUGAAAAGAUGGGAGAGUACUUUAGUAUCAGUUUUGUGAUCAUCUUAAUGAUUAAGAAACCAUAUCAAAAUUAGUUCUCUAAGGAAAUCUUAGUGCAUUCUUAUGACUAAGAAGAGGAACUUGAAUUGUUGAAAUGGUUAAAUCAAGAAGAUGAGUCAUACUUCGUUCCAAUACAAGUCUUAGAGUCAUACUCCAAGAUUGUCAUUUGAGUGACAUGUCUUAAAGAAGGUUUAAAACACUUGUCAAAUGUAAGAGUAAAAGUUUUCUACUCUUGUACAUUUGAAAUUGGUAAGUUGUGAUGUUUUGGAUAAAACAAAGACCAACUUAGGCCAAUUGGGUAAAGUGUUUUUCUUGAUUAGAAUCCGCACUAUCUCUUGGAUGUUUGACAAGGGAGUCUUAUAUGUCAAGAGGACAGUGGGAGUCUUAAAGGUCUUGAAAGUCUCAAGAAAUAAUCAAGAAUAAAACCUAAAGUUCUUCACUAGCACACGACUUGAGGUUCAUAACCUAUCGUGUUGACAUAUUCUGUGCCCAUUCCAGUUAAAGUUGGUUUUGCAUAUGAGUUCUUAGAGUUCUCAAUUUGUUGCACAACAACUUGGAAGCAAUGGCAGGCCCUUGAGCUGCCAGGUGGCAAGAAGUUAAGAUUGAGUUCAAUCCAUAUGGUUUUGGAUUUGUCAUUAUCUUUGUCUUGUGAUUAUGGUUUGACAAAUUCAUAUGGGUAGGAACUCAUACACCAUAUAAAUCUAAGUGUCAUAAGGUUUCUCUCCGAUUCAUGAAAAUGAUGGUGAGGAAACGCUUUCACUAAGUAGAUUUUACGAAGAUAUCAAUUGUGUUAUUUGCAUUUUCAAAAGUCGUUAGUGGAGCGCGUGUGGUUAACCGGCACACUAACAUGGACUUGUGAGAAAUGGCAAAUGCCUAAGCAAUUGAGACCAUGAUUACGGUAUCCCUUUUCAUGGUUCUUGAAAUUGCUUAGACACACAGGUGAGCUAUCUACGGAAAGGGUGUAUGAAUCUAAAUUUCAGACUGUCCAGCUGAUUUCUGAGUACAUGUCAAAGCUAGUGGGAGCAUAAGUGUUAUGCUAAUAAUCAUCAUGUUAGUGGGAGCAUGAUAAUUAUGAUAAGUAUUGCAAGUUAGCAAUGUUAAUUAUAGAAAACAAAAGUUUCAAUUGGGAAAAAGUUGUUUUGCUAUAAUUAAGGGAGAGGAAAUUAUGCUUCAUCUCAAAUCUAUAAGCUUAGAUCGUGAGGUUUUAAUCAUUUAGUCAAGGAUAUAUAUGAAUUUCAUGUUGGAAUGGCUCAACAUAAGGAAAUUCUGUAUAUGGGUCCAUUAUUUGCGUUCUAAAAUUCGAUUAUGAUUACGGCAUCCCUUUUCAUAAUCUGAAUUAUGAGAACUUGGCAAAUUGAAAUGGAAAUAUUAUAGCAAAAGACUGGUUUAGUCUUUAUGUAAGACAUCAUGAAUCGUGUCCCAUAUGCUUCGGAUAUAGGAUCGAUUACAUGUGCUAUAUUCAUCCGUUCUAAAAUUUUCCAAAUGCCUGGGGCAUUAAGAAGGGAAAAGGUUUAGAACUGGAUAUGACUAAAAGGAUUAAACAAUUGUCGAGGACAAUCUAAGGUUUACCAAAGAUUGGUUACUCAAGGACAAUUGGAAGUAUAGUGAUAAUUCUGGAAGGACCAUAUUGACAUAAUCUGUAAGGAGGCAACUCUUGUUCAGAAGUGAUAGUCAAAAUGGAAUCUGGAAAUGUUUCAAAGUUAGAAUUUUCAAUCUGUGUAAGAUUAAGGAAACUUAAUGCAAGAAGGAUAUUUCCAAGGAGUUGAUCUCCUUUGGAAUACUCUGUAAUGAUUGUUGCCAAGUCUUUGUGACUUUGUGCAUAAUCAUUACAAGAGGAUCAAUGCAUAUAAGUUUAGAAUCUAACAGAUUUCAGUAAAUGGCAUGAAUUUGGAAUUCUUGCAUUUGCAGUAAGGAUUUGGGAGUGUGAAAAGAGAAUCAUUGAAGUUAUGUUCAAUUGAUCUAGUUCACAAAGUAAAGAUCAUAGACAAACAUAGUAUGCAUACUUGGUGUGUGGCAUGACUAGUGUUUAAGAAAACAUAGUGUACAUGCUUGGAGCAUGGGACAACUAUUGUUUUAAAUUCAAGAAUAAAGUUGAUAGCUGAAACAGUAUACAAUGAAUAAUGUGUAAUCAUAUGGUGAUAAAUAAAAGGUGUUUUAUUUAUGUUCAAAGGGUUGAUACCAUAUUGGAUUCAAUUAUUAUUGUGUUUCAUUUUGCAUGUUUUGACUUCCCGAAUAAACUGGGUUAUUCUUCCGGAAUGACUAAGUUAUUCAAACCAUCCACAGUCGGUCAUAUGUUGGAAGUAGAUAUGAAUUAAGACUGUCAUGGGUUGGCUUGUAGAGGUCUAAGGUGUUGGACAAAGGGCUACAACACUCAUGAGUGCUCAUAAGUUCUGAGUAUUGGAUUCAACCCGCGCUCAUUGGAAUCACUUCAUGGAUUUUAUCACGAGUGAUCAUGAGACGAUAAUAUCUUAUAUUCUUCAAACCUAGAGAUAUGAGUUGUUACUAUGAGUUGAUAGUACAUUGAUUGCACGAAAACGCAUUUGGUAACUCGGUGCUAUAAAACGUGCCUUUGUGUAUGAUUCAACAAGUAGUAGAACAAGCCAUAUGAGUCGAAGUUUAUCCAUUCCUUUUACCUUCGGGAUAAAAGCGAUAUCUGUGGGCCCCUCGAUGAUUUGAUGAUGACAAAUGGAAGUGCUCGGCCGGGCCAGGACUGAUUUGAUUUGUUCAAUUAGUCAGUCGUCAUAAAUCGGAAAUCGGGAAACAACAAAUGGACAGAGAGAAUGAUUAUAAUCCAUGUCUCAGUCCAUAUGAUAUCUAGAAUGGAGGAAUAUAUGAUCCCUUAUCUAAUGGACAAGUCAUUGACAAAGGUCAGAGUUCAUCUACAAGGUCAGAGUUCGACAGAAGCUUUUGAGAGCUACGAUUGCCAGUUGGUUCCUGAAGUCAUACGCAAUAAUAGUUUUAGACUUAUCCAAGUGGGAGACUGUUGGAUUAAUGUCUAAGUCCAUAACUAUAAUUGGUAAGACUUGACCCGACCCGGCAUGGUCCAUUUGGGUUGCAUACCAUCAUGCACUUGGAUAGACUAUAAUGAGAGAAAUAAGACACUUAUGGUUAUUAAUAUAUUAUAAGUUCUAGUAUAUUAAUAAUAAGAAUAAUAAGAUUAUUUAAUUAGUAUUGAUCAAGAAUUAAUCUAGGAUUAAUUAAGUGAUCAAAAGAAGACUAAUUAAAUAUAUGGGUUGAUUGUGUAAAUCAUCCAUACUUGUAUAGUGGGCUAAUGCUCCAUGGAUAAUCAAGUUGGGCUAAAACCCAUAGGAUGGUCCAUGGAUGCUCCAUGGUGUAUUUGUACCCAUGGAUCCAAGGAAAUGGAAAGCCAUGACAAUUAAGAGUUUACCCUAAUUGUGUAACUAUAUAAGCAUCUUAUUAUUGAGGAAAAAUCGGCCACUAGUGAUAGUGAAGAAAGGGCUAGCCGAUUUUGAAGAGUGUAGAAUUCUCUCAAGUCAUUCCAAGUGUUUUGAUGAUUGUGAUUCCAUUUGAGGUGUCACACUUGGGGCACUAGGCACUCAAGCUUCAUGAAGACUUUCUACAUCAAAGAGGUAUGUAUUCUAUCUUGUUAUAGUCAUUGUUUUGUAUGCUAGAUUAGGAUAAUACCUUGGAAGUUCUUAUUUGCAUGUAUAAUAGAGAAAACAUAGAUCCAAGGUAUUUAGGGUUGCAUGUACACUUAGGAGUGUUAGAAUGCUCAAAACCCAACAGUGGUAUCAGAGCCUAGGCUUGUUUUCUUGUUAUACCUGCAAUAGAAGCUGAAAAAACGAAUCUGGUGCUGUCUGGCCAUCAGACUCGGCGAGUCCAUCAGGAGACUCGACGAGUCCAUGCCUAAAAAGUGAUGAAUUCGAUCCAACUCGCCGAGUUUGUUCAUGCACUCGACGAGUUGGACCCCCAGACAGCAUAUUUUCGAGUUUUUUGGCUAGAAAUGGACUAGGAACAUUACCCUAAGUUGUUUUUGAACUUAUAAACUUGUUUUUGAUGUGGUAAUGUUCAUGCUAAUCCAUUUUCAAAGAUAAUUGUCAAUAGAUUCAUGUUUUGUAUUAGUUUAAGGUUUAGACUAAUUACAUGAAAAAGUUUGAUUUGAAUUAUCUUGUUCUUAUGAGUUGCUUAGAUUAAUAGAAAUGUUGAGUGAAAUAGUUGUUUUCAAUCCAUUUUAAUCUAAGAGUUGAGUAUAAAAUGUGUUUGUGUAACUUGUCCUCAAGUUACAUGAAGAGUCACAUUAAAGACUCAUAAAACUCAUAAAAGUUGGCAAUGGUUACAAAAUGAAGAGUCUUGUGUCAUUGAAUAAUUUUUUUUGACUCCAUAACUUGUCCUCAAGUUAUGGAAGUUCAAGAGUCACUUCAUUAAAGAAAAAUAUGUAACCAUAAUUAAAUCCAUAAGUUAUAAAAUAAAGAAAAAGUUAGUUCUUUUAUUAGUUUAAAGUCUUCCAUAACUUGUCCUCAAGUUAUGGAACUUGAAGAGUUUUUGGAUUAAAACUACUUUAAACACAUAAGUUAUGGAAUUAAUUAGUUUUGAAUAGUUUCAAAACUUGCCCUCAAGUUUUGGAAUUUGAAAAGUUUUCAAGUAUGAAUACUUUAAUUCCAAGUUAGCCCUUAGAAUUUUAAAAGUUAAAAUUCAACCCUUAUACUUUAUAAUAUUAUAAGUUAAUAAUAUAUAUAUGUAUAAGAGUAAAGUCAGUCUUACCGCUAGUACGCCUCAUUCACGAAGCCGGUCUAUAAGGUGGGUAUAAGGUUGUUGCCUAUAAAAUGGCAACUUAAUGGGUGUCCACUCUCACCCACCGCUUGCUUGACUGGUGGAGGGUCGUUAGCCGAACGGGUUUGACAGGACUAGAAUUCUCCCUUCAUUAAAAGUAUUAAUGAUAAUACUAAGUAACUAAACUCUUAAUAAUACCCAAUCUUAGUUACUUAGGAAAAAUGUGAAUAAGGUGCUAAUCCAUGAAAUUACACUUUACACUUUGUCUAAGUCGUUAGUGGAGCGUGUGUGGUUAACCGGCACACUAACUUGGACUUAACAAGGUAGGUAAAGGGUGACUUAAUAUUUAUCAUAGUAUCGAUGGAGCGUGUGUGGUUAACCGGCACAUCGAUUGAGGGGUAAUUUAUUAAGGGUACCAAGUGAUUUGCAUGGUUACUUCACACCUUGUUUUGUGAUCCUCGGCAUCCCAGUCACAAAACCUGAAGGGCACACUCGAGAUUGAAACAUGCCUUUGAAAAGUUCAAUGAAUCUCAAAGAUCUAGGAGUUUCAAAACCAAUUAAAACCUAAUAAUACAUUUCGUUUAUCUUGGUGGAAAUUGGUGAAUCGUCAUUCACCUACCUUCAAAUAUUUUAUAGCUUGGAUUACGGCAUACCUCUUCUAAGUUAUAAAAUAGUUUGUUGGGUCCUAGCCUUAAUAUUUCAUAUUGGGUGUCAUAUUAAGGACUUAAGAUCAACUAUCUUGAAUAUCUCCCAAAAGAUGUCUGGUUUAGACAUUUAUGAUCUUCCCAAAUCUCUUGAAACAAGCUUUCCUAAAUGAAGAUUAUGUCCCUUGGAAAUCAUACUUCAUUCACCUCCUCCAACUACUCUCCCCAACCCACAAGUUUUUGAAAAGUUUAAGGUCACUCAAGCCCAAUUGGUAAGGCCAGGACUAGGUGUGGUCACGUCUUGGAGAUGUAGUCACAUAUUGAUAAGCCGGGAGAGUUGGGUGUCAAAGUCUUGAGAAAGUUGGUGGUUCAAUCACUUUCUAAGUCACAUAGUGAGUUCCUUUGGGACACCUAUGAAACAGACUAUGACAAGACCCUUAAUGAUCUUAUCUAUUUGUUAAGAUCAACUUCCUUAAAACUUGAUGGACAUUGACAAUAGUGACAUAGGAAAUCCAGGAAAGCAUUCUCUUCCCAAUGGAAAGGGAUCGGCCAUAGUCAACUCAUUUGACCAAAUGGUAAAGAGAAAAGCUAAGUCUGUGAUAGUCCCGUGUACCAUUAUCAAAGGGUCCAUAUGUUUAUAUUGCCAAAGGAAGGGGCAUUGGUUGCGAAGCUGCCAAAUUUACCUAAGGAUGUUAAAGUCAAUAAGUUUGACUCUACUUCAGGUAAAGUCCACUAUCUAACUCUGUUAAGUUUCUAUUCUGAGAUUCUUGAUACAUGAUGUGACUGGGUCACAUGGUGAUGUUUUAAGAAUCAAAGAAAAGUGAAGAAACUUAAAGAAAGAAUAUGUUGAAUCUGAUGGCGUAGAUGGAUUUCUAUCGCAUAGUUUGAAGAUCGGAUUCUUGAGCUACUUCUUAGGAGUUAUGAGAUAUUGCAUAGGAAUAGAUAAC